rnacentral:ncRNA from 12 species
AGGGCGGCACAGAUUUUUCACCGUUUCCUCUGUUAAGAACGGCCGAAGGAGAACGGUGUCAGGCCGUUCACGCUCU